AUGAACGCUAGCGACAGGCCUAACACAUGCAAGUCGAGGGGCAGCACAAGGAGCAAUCUGAGGUGGCGACCGGCGCACGGGUGAGUAACACGUAUGCAACCUGCCUGUAAGCGGGGAAUAACCCGUUGAAAGACGGACUAAUACCGCAUAAAUACUAAAUUACUGCAUGGUAAUUUAUUUAAACAUUUAUGGCUUACAGAUGGGCAUGCGCAUGAUUAGCUAGUUGGAGAGGUAACGGCUCCCCAAGGCAACGAUCAUUAGGGGUUCUGAGAGGAAGGUCCCCCACACUGGUACUGAGACACGGACCAGACUCCUACGGGAGGCAGCAGUGAGGAAUAUUGGUCAAUGGACGAGAGUCUGAACCAGCCAAGUCGCGUGCAGGAAGAAUGUCCUUAAUGGAUUGUAAACUGCUUUUGCAGGGGAAUAAAGUGCAUCACGUGUGAUGUUUUGUAUGUACUCUGCGAAUAAGGAUCGGCUAACUCCGUGCCAGCAGCGGC
rnacentral:rRNA from 1 species